UACGUAGGGUGCGAGCGUUGUCCGGAAUUAUUGGGCGUAAAGAGCUCGUAGGCGGUUUUGUCGCGUCUGCUGUGAAAACUGGAGGCUCAACCUCCAGCCUGCAGUGGGUACGGGCAAACUAGAGUGCGGUAGGGGAGAUUGGAAUUCCUGGUGUAGCGGUGGAAUGCGCAGAUAUCAGGAGGAACACCGAUGGCGAAGGCAGAUCUCUGGGCCGUAACUGACGCUGAGGAGCGAAAGCAUGGGGAGCGAACAGG
rnacentral:rRNA from 1 species